CCUACGGGGGGCAGCAGUGGGGAAUAUUGCACAAUGGGGGAAACCCUGAUGCAGCGACGCCGCGUGAGUGAAGAAGUAAUUCGUUACGUAAAGCUCUAUCAGCAGGGAAGAAACACUGACCUUACGGUCAGCAGACGGUACCGGAGGAAGAAGCACCGGCUAACUACGUGCCAGCAGCCGCGGUAAUACGUAGGGGGCAAGCGUUAUCCGGAUUUAAUGGGUGGAAAGGGAGCGGAGACGGUGCGCCAAGGCUGGAGUGAAAUGCCGCCGCUUAACUGCGGAACUGCUUUGGAAACUGGCGACCUAGAGUGCGGGAGUGGUCAGCGCAAUUCCUAGUGUAGCGGUGAAAUGCGUAGAUAUUAGGAGGAACACCGGUGGCGAAGGCGGCUUACUGGACCGUAACUGACGUUGAGGCUCGAAAGCGUGGGGAGCAAACAGGAUUAGAUACCCUAGUAGUC
rnacentral:rRNA from 1 species